rnacentral:rRNA from 1 species
CUAGAGUUUGAUCCUGGCUCAGAACGAACGCUGGCGGCAUGCCUAACACAUGCAAGUCGAACGAAGGCUUCGGCCUUAGUGGCGCACGGGUGCGUAACGCGUGGGAAUCUGCCCUCUGGUACGGAAUAACUCAGGGAAACUUGAGCUAAUACCGUAUAAUGACUUCGGUCCAAAGAUUUAUCGCCUGAGGAUGAGCCCGCGUCGGAUUAGCUAGUUGGUAGGGUAAAAGCCUACCAAGGCGACGAUCCGUAGCUGGUCUGAGAGGAUGAUCAGCCACACUGGGACUGAGACACGGCCCAGACUCCUACGGGAGGCAGCAGUGGGGAAUAUUGGACAAUGGGCGCAAGCCUGAUCCAGCAAUGCCGCGUGAGUGAUGAAGGCCCUAGGGUUGUAAAGCUCUUUUACCCGGGAUGAUAAUGACAGUACCGGG